GACAGAGGGUGCAAACGUUGCUCGGAAUUACUGGGCGUAAAGCGCGUGUAGGCGGUUUGGCACGUCCGGUGUGAAAGCCCAGGGCUCAACCCUGGAAGUGCACUGGAUACGACGGAGCUGGAGUACUGAAGAGGAGAGCGGAAUUCCCGGUGUAGAGGUGAAAUUCGUAGAUAUCGGGAGGAACACCAGUGGCGAAGGCGGCUCUCUGGGCAGAUACUGACGCUGAGACGCGAAAGCAUGGGGAGCAAUCAGG
rnacentral:rRNA from 1 species